rnacentral:rRNA from 1 species
GUCUUUUUGAUUAUAAUUUAAAGUCUAACCUGCCCAAUGAGGAGUUAAAUGGCCGCGGUAAUUUGACCGUGCAAAGGUAGCAUAAUCAUUAGUUUUUUAAUUGAAAGCUGGAAUGAACGGUUGGACGAGAAAAUAACUGUCUCAAUUUAAAUGAAUGUAGAAUUUUAUUUAUAAGUAAAAAAGCUUAUAUGAUUUUAAAAGACGAGAAGACCCUAUAGAGUUUUAUAUUUUAUUAUAUUAAUUAGGUUUAGUAUGUUUAUAUUUUUUAUAUAAUAAUGUAUUUUGCUGGGGCAGCAGAAAAACAGGCUAAACUUUUUUUUAUUUUUUUACAUUGAUUUAUGAGUAAAUGAUCCAUUAAUUAUGAUUAUAAGAUUAAAUUACCUUAGGGAUAACAGCGUAAUUUUUUUUUAGAGUUCUUAUCGAAAAAAGAGUUUGCGACCUCGAUGUUGGAUUAAAAUUAACUUUUGGUGUAGGGG